rnacentral:rRNA from 1 species
AGUCACUGACAUUAGAUACCCGCGUAGUCCAGGGUGUAAACGCUGCAGACUUGGUGUUGGAAGUCCUUUGGGGGCAUUCAGUGCCGGAGAGAAGUUGUUAAGUCUGCUACUUGGGGAGUACGUCCGCAAGGAUGAAACUUAAAGGAAUUGGCGGGGGAGCACCGCAACGGGAGGAGCGUGCGGUUUAAUUUGGAUUCAACACCGUAAAACUCACCAGGGAAGACUGUUACAUGAAAGCCGAGAUGAAGACUCUGCUAGAUUUUCAG